rnacentral:rRNA from 1 species
GAUCCUGGCUCAGGAUGAACGCUAGCGAUAGGCCUAACACAUGCAAGUCGAGGGGCAGCACAUGAAGUAGCAAUACUGAUGGUGGCGACCGGCGCACGGGUGAGUAACGCGUAUGCAACCUGCCUACAACAGGGGAAUAACCCGUGAAAGACGGACUAAUACCCCAUAAUACAGGGAUCCCGCAUGGGAAUAUUUGUUAAAGAUUUAUCGGUUGUAGAUGGGCAUGCGUUCCAUUAGCUAGUUGGUGAGGUAACGGCUCACCAAGGCAACGAUGGAUAGGGAACUGAGAGGUUUACUCCCCCACACUGGUACUGAGACACGGACCAGACUCCUACGGGAGGCAGCAGUGAGGAAUAUUGGUCAAUGGACGCAAGUCUGAACCAGCCACGUCCGCGUGAAGGAAGACGGCCCUACGGGUUAGUAAACUUUCUUUGGUAAGGGAAUGAAGUGAGCCACGUGUGGUCUUUUGCAUGUACCUUACGAAUAAGGAUCGGCUAACCUCCGUGCCAGCAGCUGC